rnacentral:rRNA from 1 species
GCUGCGUUCUUCAUCGAUGCCAGAACCAAGAGAUCCGUUGUUAAAAGUUUUA